CUCGCACUCGCGCCACCCAGCUCUUCGUCUUUCUCCCGCGUCACCUCCCUCUCUCCCUCCAACCCUAGACCCGCGCCCGUCUCCCUGCCCCGCCGCCGUCCAGAUCCAACCCCACCCCGCCGUCAUUCUCCUUCGCCCAGACCAAUCCCAUCUCAACCUCCCUCGAUCUUUCUCUCUCAAAAAAAACCUCCCCCGAUCUCCCGUACAUCCCCUGUCAUCGCGCCGCUGCCGUCGCUGCCGCUCGCCUCAGCCCCCGUCCCUGACCUCACGCUGCCCGGCGCCUCCUCCCCACACCGAGGACCUCCCCUUGCUCCGCCUCUUCUUCCUAUCCGGCUAGAACUGCGGCGCACGGCCUCUCAUGCUCGCUCGCGACCCUCAGCCGUGUCUAGGGUUUCGGGCUGGGCAGCGCCUUCGCCGCCGGCGCGGCUCCGGUGGGCUCUGACGACUCCUCUCCGUCUCCUCCCUCGCCCCCACGUGCGGUUCCACUUCCCGCUGGCCACGAGGUGCAGCCUUGCAGGGGCGCAUCAGGCUGGGUCGCCUCUGUUUCUGAUUUGGUGCAGCAGACGUUGUGGGGUUGAGGUGUUCUUGGACGAUUUGCUUAAGGUUGUCAGUACAUCUUAUAACUAGGUCACUUCCACUGGAUCUUUCUGUUAACAAGCAGCUAGACCCAAGUGUGUGUGUAUGAUGCUGUUGGGUUGUUGACAUGGCGCGUGGUCCGGUUGCGGCUCAUGCUUAAGCCACAGUCGAGCCUCGUGUUGGGUUGGUAGGUGGUCGUGGGCGUGACCGUGGGCGGUCUGCUGGUCGUCGUGGUCGAGCCACUGGCCGUGGAGGUUCUAAUCUAGGGCGUGCCCCUGUUUCUGAUCAUGUCGCUGCUUGCCGGGACAGGCGUAGGGGUAUGAGUCGGUGGAUGCCUGCUACUGGAGCUGAGUCUGUCGCCAGGCGUGAGCGUGGCGCUCGGCAGGUGCCUGCUGCUGGGCGUGGCACCAUACCUCGGUCAAGUGGUAGGGGUGUUCGUAGUGCUGAUUAUGGGCAUGCAGCUGCUGCUAUACAUGUGUCCGUCCCUGGUCGUGCUGCUGAUCCUGGGCACGACGCCGCUUCUGUGCAUGUGUCUAUCCCUGGUUGUGCUGCUGGUCCUGGGUACACCGCUGCUCCUAGGCGUGUGUUGGUCCUUGGGAUUGCUUGAUAAUUUGUGGAUGCUUGAUAAUUUGUCCAGGUAGAGAUCCACCACUGAUGACACAAGUCUGCUACCCUGCUCCUGUGAAGGUCACUGAAGGCCUGCGCCUCCCACCGUGGUAUCCUCUCUCAACUUGCACCUCUUCAUGAUAACAAGAUGGUUUCUGGCAAACAAUUAUCAGGAACUUCAGCUAGGUAUGAAGCACAAUAAAGGUGGCAAUAAGAUGUGCGGGCAAUUAUCUGUGUUUUCGUGACCAUGCUGAUGUGGAGCUGCCAUUGAGGCACAUUUUGCCUCCGAGAUAUCAAACCCUCCAACCUCCAUUUUCUUUAGGAUUGUCCCGAGCCCAUCUCACCUCGGUCUUCUCUCCCCCAUGGAUUUGAUUGUGUGCAUGGAUGAGGAAAGAGUCAUUACACGAGGUGUUGGUGGAGACGGAGGUUGAGUGGACGACCGACAUACACAGCUUCAUCUAUAACUGCCUCUAUGGCUUCCUCGACCUCAAUGUUAGCCUCCCUGCUUCACUACUGCAAAAGGGUUUGCAGCUUUGUGUGGUGAUGGCCCUGCCCCUGGCCAAUAUCGAUGCACAUAGGAGUGAUCUUUGGCUAUGGAGGCGUAUCUUCGGAUGGUCUACAACAGUGUCCUGUUUCUCUGCUGGCUCCGAUUAUGUUACGUCAUGUUGGUUGGCAUACAUUUAUUUCUGUAUUUGGCACUUCUGGUUGGCUAAUGUUGUUAUGUUGUCCAAGGAAACACAAUACUUACGUUGGUGUCUACGACAGACUUUUGUUGUUCUACUGCCUGUACCCUGUUCGUCUAGAAGAUGAAGGGGAUGGAUGCAAACUUAUGUAUGCAAUGCCAGGAUGAUCAUGGUAGCUUAUGUGAUUGUCGCUGGUCUUCU